rnacentral:rRNA from 1 species
UACGUAGGUGGCAAGCGUUGUCCGGAUUUACUGGGCGUAAAGAGCGCGCAGGCGGUCGUUCAAGUCGCGUGUGAAAGCCCCCGGCUCAACUGGGGAGGGUCACGCGAUACUGAUCGACUCGAAGGCAGGAGAGGGUAGUGGAAUUCCCGGUGUAGUGGUGAAAUGCGUAGAUAUCUGGAGGAAUACCGGUGGCGAAGGCGGCAUCCUGGACCAUUACUGACGCUGAGGCGCGAAAGCUAGGGGAGCAAACGGG